CCAGUGCUGUUCCUGUUGAUGCUGGUAGUGGCUGGCGUGUCUGCCAGCGACCUGCCCCAAGAAUUUGCAGUGGAACAAAUAAAUGAAGCCGGGCGGUUCCUAGUACUACUUGACCGAGCAACGAGAACAUCACUCGUACUCGUCUCUACGACCUCAACUAAGUCCUGUUUCCCAAUUACAGUUAGUACCACUACGAUCGAGACGACUGGUCCCGGUGGCCGACAACGUCGCUUCGCACGAGGAAGGUUGGACACCAAGGCAGAGGAACCACCCGCCAUGGCGCCGGCUGAACUCGCAGGGUCUCUGCUGGAAGAUUACUUAGCAAUCCAAGCCAGGGGCGGGAAGUUUCUUCUAGGCUUCCCGACUGUGACGCUGAAUUAUAGCACUCGGUCAACGGCUACACUACUAUCUAUAUCAACGACCAUCCUCAACUCCCAGGAAUUAAUAUCCUUCGUGACAAAUCUUCCAAACGGUGUCUU